UUGAACGCUGGCGGAAUGCUUUACACAUGCAAGUCGAGCGGCAGCGCGGGGGCAACCCUGGCGGCGAGCGGCGAACGGGUGAGUAAUACAUCGGAACGUGUCCUUGAGUGGGGGAUAGCUCGGCGAAAGCCGGAUUAAUACCGCAUAAGCUCUGAGGAGGAAAGCGGGGGAUUCGCAAGGACCUCGCGCUGUUGGAGCGGCCGAUGUCGGAUUAGCUAGUUGGUGGGGUAAAGGCCCACCAAGGCGACGAUCCGUAGCUGGUCUGAGAGGAUGAUCAGCCACACUGGAACUGAGACACGGUCCAGACUCCUACGGGAGGCAGCAGUGGGGAAUUUUGGACAAUGGGGGCAACCCUGAUCCAGCCAUUCCGCGUGAGUGAAGAAGGCCUUCGGGUUGUAAAGCUCUUUCGGACGGAACGAAACGGUUACGGUGAAUAGCCGUGACUAAUGACGGUACCGUAAGAAGAAGAC
rnacentral:rRNA from 1 species